UGGGUUUGGUAUCAGCCUGUGUCCUCGAGUUACCUGAACUUCCUCCACCGUCUGCGCUAUCUAAAACAUUGGCCUUUGUUAAUGAAUCUAUCAGUUUACUUGGAUGUUCGUUGGAAACCUUUCUCCUCUUUGAAUUAUUUCUCAACGUUUCACUAUUGGCAUUUGUAAGCUGAUUGAAAUCAUCAUCAUCAUCCGAAUACUCAUCAGGAAUCCUUCUUAUAACUUCUUUUGAUCUCCGUUCAAAUAUUGAUUUUAUAAGUGCUUCAUCCUCUUCUUCCAACUUCUUCUCCUUUUCCGCAGCUGUUUGCUGCAAGGCCUCAAGCAUAGCAUCUACGCUGACAGUUGCAUGUCUUGACUUCAUAGACUUCAUCUCGUCAAGUGCAGCAAGAAUGUCCAUCUCUCUUUUGGAGUCCAAAGUCCGAUUCUCCAAGGAUUUCAUUGCAUCACCCAUCUCCUCAGCAUCCCUUUUUUGCCUCUCCUUAUCAGCUUCCUCAUCCUCAGCACGCCAGGGCUCAAAAUUUCGUGUAGCGCCACUCUCAACAACAUAAUCAGAAUUUUGAGGAUCAGUCUUUAUGGCAAGCUCGGCUGAACAUUUGGUGCACUUGAAAUAGAACCUGAAAAUUUGAAUUC
rnacentral:misc_RNA from 1 species